GUCCACUUGGCUACCUGGUAGCCGAGUGGACAAGGCACCUGCCCGGUAAGCAGAAGGGUGUGGGUUCGAUUCCCGCCCCUGGACA
rnacentral:tRNA from 1 species